CUGGUAGCAAACGUUUGGACACAAGUUAAAUGCAAAUAUAAAAUUGCACGCCAAAACUUAAAAGUUAAAUUUGUAAUAAUAUUAAGUAGGUAGCACUGCAUGCCCAAGCUACAAUCCAUCAUACACAAUGACGAGUGACGACAAGAGCAGUUACGACUCCAGUGACAACAGCGAGGCCGAGGAGCGACACGCCAAGCACAAAAAGUCUAAAAAGCAUAAGAAACACAAAAAGUCGAGCAGCAGUGAAAAGGUGCACAAAAAGCACAAGAAAUCGAAAAAGCGCCAUCAGCGUCACAGCGAAUCUUCGAAUGCAUCCGAGAAGCAGCAGCUCAUUCGAAACAAUGCAGUGGCUCAAGGUCUGAGUAGCAAAUUUACUGAGUUGAUGCAAGCCAGUCGCGAGCGUAGCUCAAAACUGACGCCCAAUGGCGCCGACUUUCGUAUUGUCAAACCAAAUACAGACCCAUGCAGCUUGGUUGAAGAGAUUACCAAGACCAUACAGAACAAGGUGCGGCCUGUACUUGAAGUGGCCACAUCUGGUAGUGAGAGUGAUGUCCCCAUUGACAUAGCCAGCCCUGUGUUGUUGCCAGAUAAGCUCGAAGAUGAGCUAAAUUUGGAGGAGCUAAUGCGACAAAAGGCACUUCUGCAAGCACGCCUGGGUGCCUACAUGUCUGACACUGAAGGCGAUGAGACUCGUUCCAAUUCGUUGCAGCUCAAGCGUCCACUGCAGCAACCCCAGCAGCCACAGCAACCCGUUGUUGCAGCUAUCGAGGCGCCGAAGCGUAGGCCGAACUCGCAGUCUGCACUGCAGCUGGCAACUGCAACUAGUAAACAUGCUAAUAAUAAACAGUCUAACAUCAAUAACUCAAACGAACCCGAUGUUAUAUUAUUGGAUGAUUCUAGCGGUAGUCAGCGUACGCCCUCGCCCACACCAGAGAAGCGAAGACGACAAUCAUCGCCCAUCCCACAAAGAAGUCGGCCACAGCAGCAGCGUGACUCGCGAGAUCGUCGUUCGAUCCGAGAUCAACGAAGUCGCACGCCUCGCCGACGCAGUGAGCAACAGCUACAGCAGCAACAGAGACGUCAUCACCAAGAGUACAACAGGAACAUGGAAGAUCUGCGACAGGAGAUCAAUCGUGACAAGCAGCGAGAGCGACGCGAACAAAGUCGUGAUCGUGAAAGGAGACCAGAGAGAGAUAAUCGACAGCAGCAGUCAGAGCGUGGAGGUAGGCAGCGCGAGCGCGAACGAGAGCGUGAUCGUGAUCGUGAUCGCGAUCGCGAUCGCUGGCAACGUCCACGUUCGCAUAGUCGUAGUAAGUUUGAGUCAGAUAGAAGGCGUGAGCGUGAGCGUCAGCUGGAGCAGGAUCGGGGCGGUGAACGUGGCACAGGAUCUGGACGUGGAGCACGCUCUGGCAAUGGUGUGGGCGCCGCCGAUCGCGAUCGCUAUAAAGGCUCUUUAAGCGAGGGGCAGAAAAUGCACGAAAAGGAGAGCAGCGACGAGGAAACCAGUCUUGACAUAGAUAUCAACGAGGACGAGGAUGAUGAGGAGCGUAUCAUUGAGAUGCGUCGCAAGCAACGUGAGGAGCUGGUCAAGAAACUGGUUACCACUGAGGGGAAAUCGCGUACAACCAGCCCGACGCCUCGGAAAUCGAAUUCAUAUGAAUCGAGAAGCAUCUCACCCGUCUCCUCGAAACCCGAGCAGAUGCAGCAUUCGCCAACGAUUGAAAAAGAAGAGCAGCCGGCUGCUAAGCCCGAAGCGUUCGAUGCAAAUGCUUCGAAGAACAGCACAGUUAAAGAGAAACGCAACGAAUGGGACAUGUUUGCCGAUCAGGAUGUUGAUUCGAAUUUCGAUUCCCCCAGUACGAUAGUGCACAGUAAGCAUCAAAUUGAGAAUCCUGCUCUAACUGACAAUUGGGACGAUGCGGAGGGUUAUUAUCGUGUGCGCAUUGGUGAGGUACUGGACAAUCGCUACCUCGUCAGUGGCUACACAGGACAAGGCGUGUUCAGCAAUGUGGUGCGCAGCAGGGAUCAGGCGCGCGGCUCGGCCAAUGUGGCUAUCAAAAUUAUACGCAACAACGAGAUCAUGCAUAAGACAGGUCUACGUGAGCUGGAAAUCCUUAAAAAACUCAACGAUGCGGAUCCUGAUGAUCGUUUCCAUUGCCUUCGUUUAUAUCGGCACUUUUUCCACAAGCAGCAUCUUUGCAUGGUGUUUGAGCCGCUGGCCAUGAAUCUGCGCGAGGUKCUCAAGAAAUAUGGCAAAAAUGUGGGUCUUCACAUAAAAGCGGUGCGCAGCUAUACUCAGCAACUGUUCCUCGCUCUUAAGCUGCUGAAAAAGACGGGCAUACUGCAUGCGGACAUCAAGCCCGAUAAUAUUCUAGUUAAUGAGAAUAAUUUGAUAUUGAAGCUGUGCGAUUUUGGCUCUGCCUCGGCCAUCAGUGAGAAUGAAAUAACGCCUUACUUGGUAUCACGUUUCUAUCGAGCACCUGAAAUAAUAUUGGGUAUACCCUAUGACUAUGGCAUUGAUACGUGGUCAGCUGGUUGCACUAUCUACGAACUAUAUACGGGCAAGAUAUUGUUCAGUGGCAAGAGCAACAACCAGAUGCUUAAAUUCUUUAUGGAUGUAAAGGGCAAGAUACCCAAUCGCAUCAUACGCAAGGGACAAUUCAGAGAACAGCAUUUUGAUCAAAGCUGCAAUUUCCUCUAUCACGAAAUAGACAAAUUAACAGAGAGGGAAAAGAUCGUCGUGAUGCCUGUGGUGAAGCCUACCCGCAAUUUGCAACAGGAGCUAAUCGCUGAUCAGAACUUACCCGAUGAUCAGCAUCGCAAGGUGACACAGCUCAAAGAUCUGCUGGAGAAUAUGUUUGCCUUGGAUCCGGGCAAACGUAUAUCGCUAAAUCAGGCACUCACACAUCCCUUUAUACAGGAGAAAAUGUAGCUCCAAACAGCACAGAGAGCGACACAAUAAACUGGACCUCUGCUGAUCUAUAAAGAAAUGGAAUCGAGCUGCGCAACUGCUAAUUCGGCCGAAAUUGUGGAAACUGCGCGUCUUGAAACUUUGACACAAUUCCACGUCCGGGCGUAAACCAGGAGGCGAGGAUUCCUCUUGCGAGCAAGCCACAGGAUAUUUUGGCAAUUGGC